AGUACUUUAGGAAGAAUCAUCAAAGUAACUCAGGAGGUGAUUGACUACCGGAGGUGGAUCAAAGAGAAGUGGGGCAGCAAAGCCCACCCGUCGCCAGGCAUGGACAGCAGGAUCAAGAUCAAAGAGCGAAUAGCCACAUGCAAUGGGGAGCAGACGCAGAACCGAGAGCCCGAGUCUCCCUAUGGCCAGCGCUUGACUUUGUCGCUGUCCAGCCCCCAGCUCCUGUCUUCAGGCUCCUCGGCCUCUUCUGUGUCUUCACUUUCUGGGAGUGACGUUGUAAGUGCCCUCCCCUCCUCCGUGUGUCUGUUGGACAGUUUGUGUCUCUGGUAAAUGUCCAUAGCCGCGAGCUUAAAAUCUCCCCCUUGGUUUUGCUCAGGUUUUGUUUCCUUGUAUGUGUGUGGAGGUGGGUGGGGGGCAGCCCCGUGAUGUGGGCACCAGGCUUCCUUUCCCCUGCCGUGAACCUUCAGAACCUGUCUGUGCGACUCAUGCGGCUGUCGAGGGCAGUAAUCCUCUAAAUGGUUGAACUACAGUGGACUUCCUUGAGUAGUUUUUAAAAAUUUAUUUGAAGAUUAAAAAAAAAAUUAAAUCC
rnacentral:lncRNA from 1 species